rnacentral:sRNA from 1 species
AUUCCAUCCUAGGUGAUGGAGGGAGACUCUGUCUCAAAAACAAAAUAAAAUAUUUUUGUAGAGACAAGGUCUUGAACUCUGCCUGAAGCCAUCCUCCUGCCUUAGCCUCCCAAAGUGCUGUGAUUAUAGGAGUGAGCUGCUGUAUCUGGCCUGAGGAUGCUAAUUUUUAAUUUGAUUGGAAAUUUGGGAUUUAGUUCAGGUUUUUUUCUCUCUUAAGUAUCUUAAUGUUUAAUCGUUAAUUACCUACUUUUUUGUCCCCUCUGAAAUACCUAAUUUAGGCCAUGGCCCAAAAGGAAGACAUGGAAGAGAGAAUCACUACUCUUGAAAAACGCUACCUCGCUGCACAGCGUGAAGCCACAUCUGUGCAUGACCUCAAUGACAAACUUGAAAAUGAAAUUGCAAAUAAAGAUUCUAUGCAUCGACAGACUGAAGAUAAAAACCGCCAGUUACAGGAGCGCUUGGAAUUGGCAGAGCAAAAGCUGCAACAGACACUGAGGAAGGCAGAGACGCUC